AACGAACGCUGGCGGCAUGCCUAACACAUGCAAGUCGAACGAGACCUUCGGGUCUAGUGGCGCACGGGUGCGUAACGCGUGGGAACCUGCCCUUAGGUUCGGAAUAACUCCCCGAAAGGGGUGCUAAUACCGGAUAAUGUCUUCGGACCAAAGACUUAUCGCCUUUGGAUGGGCCCGCGUUGGAUUAGCUAGUUGGUAGGGUAAAAGCCUACCAAGGCGACGAUCCAUAGCUGGUCUGAGAGGAUGAUCGGCCACACUGGGACUGAGACACGGCCCAGACUCCUACGGGAGGCAGCAGUGGGGAAUAUUGGACAAUGGGCGAAAGCCUGAUCCAGCAAUGCCGCGUGAGUGAUGAAGGCCUUAGGGUUGUAAAGCUCUUUUACCCGGGAUGAUAAUGACAGUACCGGGAGAAUAAGCUCCGGCUAACUCCGUG
rnacentral:rRNA from 1 species